rnacentral:rRNA from 1 species
GUGGGGAAUUUUGGACAAUGGGCGCAAGCCUGAUCCAGUAAUGCCGCGUGCAGGAAGAAGGCCUUCGGGUUGUAAACUGCUUUUGUACGGAACGAAACGGUCCUGGUUAAUACCUGGGGCUAAUGACGGUACCGUAAGAAUAAGCACCGGCUAACUACGUGCCAGCAGCCGCGGUAAUACGUAGGGUGCGAGCGUUAAUCGGAAUUACUGGGCGUAAAGCGUGCGAAGGCGGUGCUGUAAGACAGGCGUGAAAUCCCCGGGCUCAACCUGGGAAUUGCGCUUGUGACUGCAAGGCUGGAGUGCGGCAGAGGGGGAUGGAAUUCCGCGUGUAGCAGUGAAAUGCGUAGAUAUGCGGAGGAACACCGAUGGCGAAGGCAAUCCCCUGGGCCUGCACUGACGCUCAUGCACGAAAGCGUGGGGAGCAAACAGGAUUAGAAACCCUUGUAGUCC